rnacentral:lncRNA from 1 species
AGCCAGGGCCGCGGUUCGCCUGCACGUCACGGCUACUCAAACCCAAGCACGUCCCGAAAGCGGUAUUUUCUGCGUCUGGGAGGUUUUUGCAUCCUCAGUUCCCACCGCUGGGGCUGGCGGCGACCAACUAAGUCCCACUUUAUCAUUAAUGAUGACAAUAACUAAGGCUGCCAGGAACAGCACAUCUGCUGAGCUUUAUCAACACCAGAUUCUCUCAUUUUGCCUUCUGGAUCUCCAUGCUUUUUUAUACCAACAAACAAGAGGAAGAAUAUUCUCUACCCACUUCCUUGACUGAAGCCUGCUCUUUUAUGAAGACAUGGCAUCUCUUCCAACCGUGUCAAACAGAUGCAAUUUAUAUGUCUGCUGCUUCCAUACCCUGAUUAAAUGGGUCAGUGGCAGAAUCAGUAUCCUUAGUCUCCCCUUUGGUUUCAAAUAUGUACUCCUUAUUUCAGUUUCAUGCUCACCUUUCUGUAGAGACCAAGGCAUCUGCCUUUGCAGCUUUACCUCUUCCUCCAGGUUAUAGUUUCCAUUCAUGGAAUCUUUUAGCUGCUGGCUGGCAGUUUUCCUGUCUACCUGACUUCCAUUCCUCUUCUCAUGACUUCAGCUCCCAUGCAGAUGUCUUAUCCUGACAUACUAGCUUCUCCAUUCUAUUUCUGUGUGUGUGUGUCUGUGUGUUUCCCUACUAGUUCAUCCACAUUUCCCUAUGGUCUUUUUUUUUUAUGUUUUAUUUUUGCAUA